AGCUUUAGUAGCCCGAUUGGUAGAGCAUUGGAUUCAUAAUCCAAGGGUUGUGGGCUCAAUACCCAUCUGGGCCA